rnacentral:rRNA from 1 species
AUUGAACGCUGGCGGCGUGCUUAACACAUGCAAGUCGAUCGGUAACAGGUGUAGCAAUACAUGCUGACGAGAGGCGGACGGGUGAGGAAUAUUUGGGAAUCUGCCCAUCAGCGGGGGACAACCCGGGGAAACUCGGGCUAAUACCGCAUACGCUCUACGGAGGAAAGCCGGGGACCGCAAGGCCUGGCACUGAUGGAUGAGCCCAAAUCGGAUUAGCUAGUUGGCGGGGUAACGGCCCACCAAGGCGACGAUCCGUAGCUGGUCUGAGAGGACCAUCAGCCACACCGGAACUGAGACACGGUCCGGACUCCUACGGGAGGCAGCAGUGGGGAAUAUUGGACAAUGGGGGAAACCCUGAUCCAGCGACGCCGCGUGGGUGAAGAAGGCCUGCGGGUUGUAAAGCCCUUUCGGUAGGGAAGAAAUCUCUUGCUCUAACAAAGCAAGGGUUUGACUUAACCUACAUAAGAAGCACCGGCUAACUCUGUGCCAGCAGCCGCAGUAACAC